rnacentral:rRNA from 1 species
CACGUAGGGGGCGAGCGUUGUCCGGAUUUAUUGGGCGUAAAGAGCUCGUAGGCGGCUCGGUAAGUCGGGUGUGAAAACUCUAGGCUCAACCUAGAGACGCCACCCAAUACUGCUGUGGCUAGAGUCCGGUAGGGGAGCAUGGAAUUCCUGGUGUAGCGGUGAAAUGCGCAGAUAUCAGGAGGAACACCAGUGGCGAAGGCGGUGCUCUGGGCCGGUACUGACGCUGAGGAGCGAAAGCGUGGGGAGCAAACAGG